ACCCUUCUGCGACAGGAGCCUACCAGAGCUGAAGUGCUUAGUGGCUCUUUUUAGGUUGUUUUUGAAAAUGUGUUCUCAGUAUGAGCUUCAGGCUGACUUUUAACUCACCAUUCUCCUGACACAUCCUUCCAAGGCCUAGGAUUACAGAUGUGUCCCUAUACUCAGCCUCAGAAGCUCUUCCUGUAGAACCCACGUUUUAGGGGCACAUUCUGAGACAAUGUGAGCUGGGGCAUUCAAGGGGACUGAGACAUAGAGACAAGGUGCUGGACAGGCAGGAGGAGCCUUCCAGGCAGCGUCCUGGCCUGAGCAGAAUGGAAGAGAAGUAGUGCACAGUGGAUUCCUAUGAGACAGCUUCAUGAAGUCCUAAGGAGAAGGAGGCUGAAGCCUAUGGCCAAAUGACUUGCAGAAGCUGCUGAAGAACUGGUCCAUCACAUGGACAUUUCAUGGUUCUAGUAGAACAAGCAUCUGGGACUUCCUCUCGAUCAAGCUGUGUAGUGUCCUGAUGGUGUGUGCUGAUGGGACUUUUAUAAGCAGUCCUUAUUAAUCACAGCUAGCAGAGAGUAAUUUGAACACAGAACAAAAAUAUCUGAAUAAACAUUCAUUGUUGGAA
rnacentral:lncRNA from 1 species